rnacentral:rRNA from 1 species
UAAGGUGAUAUGAACCGUUAUAACCGGCGAUUUCCGAAUGGGGAAACCCAGUGUGAUUCGUCACACUAUCAUUAACUGAAUCCAUAGGUUAAUGAGGCGAACCGGGGGAACUGAAACAUCUAAGUACCCCGAGGAAAAGAAAUCAACCGAGAUUCCCCCAGUAGCGGCGAGCGAACGGGGAGCAGCCCAGAGCCUGAAUCAGUGUGUGUGUUAGUGGAAGCGUCUGGAAAGGCGCGCGAUACAGGGUGACAGCCCCGUACACAAAAAUGCACAUGCUGUGAGCUCGAUGAGUAGGGCGGGACACGUGGUAUCCUGUCUGAAUAUGGGGGGACCAUCCUCCAAGGCUAAAUACUCCUGACUGACCGAUAGUGAACCAGUACCGUGAGGGAAAGGCGAAAAGAACCCCGGCGAGGGGAGUGAAAAAGAACCUGAAACCGUGUACGUACAAGCAGUGGGAGCACGCUUAGGCGUGUGACUGCGUACCUUUUGUAUAAUGGGUCAGCGACUUAUAUUCUGUAGCAAGGUUAACCGAAUAGGGGAGCCGAAGGGAAACCGAGUCUUAACUGGGCGUUAAGUUGCAGGGUAUAGACCCGAAACCCGGUGAUCUAGCCAUGGGCAGGUUGAAGGUUGGGUAACACUAACUGGAGGACCGAACCGACUAAUGUUGAAAAAUUAGCGGAUGACUUGUGGCUGGGGGUGAAAGGCCAAUCAAACCGGGAGAUAGCUGGUUCUCCCCGAAAGCUAUUUAGGUAGCGCCUCGUGAAUUCAUCUCCGGGGGUAGAGCACUGUUUCGGCAAGGGGGUCAUCCCGACUUACCA